rnacentral:rRNA from 1 species
AACGAACGCUGGCGGCAUGCCUAACACAUGCAAGUCGAACGAGACCUUCGGGUCUAGUGGCGCACGGGUGAGUAACGCGUGGGAACCUGCCCUUAGGUUCGGAAUAACUCCCCGAAAGGGGUGCUAAUACCGGAUAAUGUCUUCGGACCAAAGAUUUAUCGCCUUUGGAUGGGCCCGCGUUGGAUUAGCUAGUUGGUAGGGUAAAAGCCUACCAAGGCGACGAUCCAUAGCUGGUCUGAGAGGAUGAUCAGCCACACUGGGACUGAGAAACGGCCCAGACUCCUACGGGAGGCAGCAGUGGGGAAUAUUGGACAAUGGGCGAAAGCCUGAUCCAGCAAUGCCGCGUGAGUGAUGAAGGCCUUAGGGUUGUAAAGCUCUUUUACCCGGGAUGAUAAUGACAGUACCGGGAGAAUAAGCUCCGGCUAACUCCGUG